rnacentral:rRNA from 1 species
GGAAGGGAUGUAUUUAUUAGAUUAAAAACCAAUGCCCUCUGGGCUCUCUGGUGAUUCAUGAUAACUUCUCGAAUCGCAUGGCCUUGCGCCGGCGAUGGUUCAUUCAAAUUUCUUCCCUAUCAACUUUCGAUGUUUGCCUAUUGGCCAAACAUGGUCGCAACGGGUAACGGAGGGUUAGGGCUCGACCCCGGAGAAGGAACUGAGAAACGGCUACUACAUCCAAGGAAGGCAGCAGGCGCGCAAAUUACCCAGUCCCGACACGGGGAGGUAGUGACAAUAAAUACUCGUACAGGGCUCUUUCGGGUCUUGUAAUUGGAAUGAGUACAAUUUAAAUCCCUUAACGAGUUACAAUUGGAGGGCAAGUCUGGUGCCAGCAGCCGCGGUAAUUCCAGCUCCAAUAGCGUAUAUUAAAGUUGUUGUGGUUAAAAAGCUCGUAGUUGAACCUUGGGCCUGGCUGGCCGGUCCGCCUCACCGCGUGUACUGGUCCGGCCGGGCCUUUCCCUCUGUGGAACCUCAUGCCCUUCACUGGGCGUGACGGGGAAACAGGACUUUUAC